CAGUCGCCACGUAAUACAGAGGGUGCGAGCGUUAAUCGGAUUUACUGGGCGUAAAGCGUGCGUAGGCGGCUUUUUAAGUCGGAUGUGAAAUCCCUGAGCUUAACUUAGGAAUUGCAUUCGAUACUGGGAAGCUAGAGUAUGGGAGAGGAUGGUAGAAUUCCAGGUGUAGCGGUGAAAUGCGUAGAGAUCUGGAGGAAUACCGAUGGCGAAGGCAGCCAUCUGGCCUAAUACUGACGCUGAGGUACGAAAGCAUGGGGAGCAAACAGGAUUAGAUACCCCGGUAGUCCCUGUCUCUUAUACA
rnacentral:rRNA from 1 species